rnacentral:piRNA from 1 species
UUCUUUGGUUGAUGGUAUGUC